AAUUAUUUUUGUCAUUACUCUGACUCUCAGCUAAAUUAUGAGUCUAAAGUAUAUGCUGGUUCCCUAAACUCUGCCCUGUUUAGAGAAGGCAUCCGCAGGGAAAGAUGUUUCAGUCACGCCGCUUCAGAAUUUCACUGUUCGCAAGGUACUGUGUAGUUUCCGGCAUUCAGAAUAAUUUUUUAUUUUUCGUUAGAGGAAGAGCUGGCGACUCCACCAUUGGACGGGGUCAUUUUACCUGGUGUUACUCGACAGAGUAUUAUUGAGCUCUGCCAAAAGUGGGGCGAAUUUAAAGUGUCAGAGCGUUACCUAACCAUGGCAGACCUGUUGACUGCUCUGAGAGAGGAGCGAGUGAAGGAGAUGUUCGGCUCUGGAACGGCCUGUGUAGUGUGCCCAGUGGGACGCAUACUGUACCAGGAAGAAAAUUUGCAUAUCCCUACUAUGGAUAAUGGACCAAAGUUGGCAACAAGAAUACUGAAGCAGCUCACAGACAUCCAAUAUGGUAGAGUUCCGAGUGACUGGACAAACAUGGUGUAGUGAAGAUGGAGGAGGCUGGGCUGAGUUCUCUCACACGUGUACUGUAUGCACUUCUGCUGAGCACAGUGCUGAAACAUUCAGCCAAAAGCACAAUGCUACAUACUACACACAGUAGGGUAGUUUUGUUAACUUUAACCUGAAAAUACAGUGGAUUUCCUCAAAGUGAUGUUACAGUAGAUGUAGUUUGGUAUAUAAUAGUUGUAACAUGAAGGCCAUAUGCAGUUCCUCCAAUUUUACCUGUUUAAGACACAUGUAGAAUGAGAUUACCUGGUGAAACUGAUUAAAAGUAGAUUUAACAUGAAACAAAAUCAAAAACGAAAUCUGAAAAGUAUCAUGGGUAAAAGGAAUAAGUGCUGAGAAUCAGUUUACAUUUUUUGUAGAGUAUCAGACAUCUUGUGUAUCAUAAAAGUUUAUAACAAUAAGUAAUAAUUUUAUUCUGCCAGAAUUCUGUGUACUUGUUUCAUCCCUGGUCUUAGGCAGUGGGGAGCCAGUUAAGUAAAGGCUCUUCUAAAGAUGGAUUUGAAGGAGUUUAGAGAAGGUGACUCUCUGAUAUCCUUGGGC